rnacentral:rRNA from 1 species
AUUGAACGCUGGCGGCAGGCCUAACACAUGCAAGUCGAACGAGUGGCGGACGGGUGAGUAAUGUCUUGGAAACUGCCUGAUGGAGGGGGAUAACUACUGGAAACGGUAGCUAAUACCGCAUACCAUCAGAUGUGCCCAGGUGGGAGUAGCGAGUUGGGGGGGUAACGGCUCACAAAGGCGACGAUCCCGAGCCGGUCUGAGAGGAUGACCGGCCACACUGGAACUGAGACACGGUCCAGACUCCUACGGGAGGCAGCAGUGGGGAAGAUUGCACAAUGGGCGCAAGCCUGAUGCAGCCAUGUCGCGUGUAUGAAGAAGGCCUUCGGGUUGUAAAGUACUUUCAGCGGGGAGGCGUUACCCGCAGAAGAAGCACCGGCUAACUCCGUGCCAGCAGCCGCGGUAAUAC